UACAGAGGUCUCAAGCGUUGUUCGGAUUCAUUGGGCGUAAAGGGUGUGUAGGUGGCGCCGUAAGUCGGGUGUGAAAUUUCGGAGCUUAACUCCGAAACUGCAUUCGAUACUGCGGUGCUUGAGGACUGGAGAGGAGACUGGAAUUCAUGGUGUAGCAGUGAAAUGCGUAGAGAUCAUGAGGAAGACCAGUGGCGAAGGCGGGUCUCUGGACAGUUCCUGACGCUGAGGCGCGAAAGCCAGGGGAGCAAACGGG
rnacentral:rRNA from 1 species